AGCGGUUCGUUUGAAAUUGGACGCCAUGACCCCAUCUCAAAAGCAGUUGUUGAGACAGAGCCCUAUGAAGAGGAUGAUUCAUUGCGGAUAAUCACAACAAUUCUGGGCAAAACGCAGCUGAUGCACUACCUUCAGCCACCCGAUAUAAGUAUCCCAGCAUAUGUUGAUACACAUGGUGACUGCAGACAGGUGUGGGACAGCAACAUGGAUGAUUUGACAUUGUAUGAGCUACGCACUGUCAUCCAUAUAGCAUUGCAACAUAAUGUGCCAGCCACUACGAAAAACGGCAAAAUGGAAUUAAGCAUAACGGAAUUCCCCCUCAAAGUAGUAUCAAUAUUAAAUGAGGCUAUCCUUCAAAGUAGACGCCUCGAUUCCGAUUUGCUGCCAUUUAUGACAGCUGAUGAACUGCAAGUUAUGACGGAAGUGUUGGAAAACAGGUUGCUCAAACUCAACACCCUCUUGAACAUAUCAAAUCGUUCGGGUACUUUAAGUAGACAUGCCACUCCCAGUAACGGUCAGGAUCUGGAACCCUCCGGUUUAGCAACAAUGGCGAAAAUGGCACGGUUAUCUGAUGAUGAAGAGGAGGAGAAGGGAGGAGGAAAGCAUGUUAAAAAAGGAGAGACCUAAAGGAAAUCGUAAAGGAUGGAAGAACAAGCGAAACAUAUGGAAAAUUACCCAUGCAAAAGCCCACUCCCAAGAAGCGUACACAACGGAAGGUCAAGGACGAAGACGAUAAUUAAGACUCCUUCCUACCAACCGUUCAACCGUUCAAAAUUAUCUGUUACACAACACUUGACGUACACUUCCACACAUUUUACCUUUCUUCCAUUUUCGUCGGAGUUGGAAGGAACUGUUCCAAGCCAGUGAUGGUACCUCCCCACAUCCUCCACUUCCAUGAUGUGAGGAUGUGGGUGAAUGUGGAUGGCAUCACAAACACAUUGUUGCAGCUUCUUCUGCGUAAAAGAUAUACCUAUCCAUCCUUUCAAUCUAUUUUCAACGCAUAAUGAGGGCUUUAACUACACUUUGGACACUCUACUACACAAUUGAUCUAUUUUCAACGCAUAAUGAGGGCUUUAACUACACUUUGGACACUCUACUACACAAUUGAUCUAUUUUCAACGCAUAAUGAGGGCUUUAACUACACUUUGGACACUCUACUACACAUGUGAAAACAUGAAUUUCAACGCCAAUGAAUAUUGGAAAAUAUUUGAUGGAACCGCCCCACAAUUUUACGCAUAGAGAAUGUGUGGAGCAGGGGAUAGCAUCACUUUUCCGCUGACACUCGUAAAAGUUACCAGAAACCAGAAAAGCAAUCCAGGAUACGAUUCUAG